CCUACGGGAGGCAGCAGUGAGGAAUAUUGGUCAAUGGCCGCGAGGCUGAACCAGCCAAGUCGCGUGAGGGAAGAAUGUCCUAUGGAUUGUAAACCUCUUUUGUCGGGGAGCAAAGUCCCCCACGUGUGGCGGUUCGAGAGUACCUGAAGAAAAAGCAUCGGCUAACUCCGUGCCAGCAGCCGCGGUAAUACGGAGGAUGCGAGCGUUAUCCGGAUUUAUUGGGUUUAAAGGGUGCGCAGGCGGGAUAUCAAGUCAGCGGUAAAAUCGAGGAGCUCAACCCCAUCCAGCCGUUGACACUGGUGAUCUUGAGUGGGCGAGAAGUAUGCGGAAUGCGUGGUGUAGCGGUGAAAUGCAUAGAUAUCACGCAGAACUCCGAUUGCGAAGGCAGCAUACCGGCGCUCAACUGACGCUGAAGCACGAAAGUGUGGGUAUCGAACAGGAUUAGAUACCCUUGUAGUC
rnacentral:rRNA from 1 species